GGGGAAGAGGUUGGACAUCUCGGGGGAGGCUGGAACUGGCCGAGGGCGUCGCCCCCACGUCGGUGACUCCCUGUAGCGCGCCCAGAGUGCAGUUUUGGCAUGCCACGACAUGCUGGUGCGCUCUGAGGCACUUUGGACGUGUCUAGCCUGUCCUGACACUUGCUGGGGGUGUGGCUAGCCGUUUGGUUUUAGUGGGAGCUUCGGCUGGUCAAAGGAGGCAAGAAAUACUGGUGCUGUCAGUCAUGAACUGAGGUCUAAAUUGGGGUUUUUGGCCUUUCCACUUUGAACCAGUGAGGGGCCAGUUGACUGGGGUUAGACAAAGGUGCUGACCACUUAAUCUAAGAGUUUGAUGCAAAGGAGUUUGGUUUAGCUGUGCCUAAGGUGGCUUUUUACUAUCUGUCAGAAGGUGUUCGACAGUGGGUUUAGGGGGUUGCAACCCACCACUGGUGCUGAGACUUAACAGGUUUGGUUUUGGUGGUAAACCAUGGAGUUCCACCAAAUUUGAGCUCCAAAGGACAAGUUUAGCUUUGUAAACUUGAAAACACUCCAUUAUGACCAGAUAUGUUCCUUCCAAAGGGAAUGUGGGCAAACUAUGUCCCACAAAUCCAAUUUUUGGUGUGGAACCCUCGUUUGAGGUAUUAGGCACUCCUACGAGGUCUUAGCCUUAUUGGACAAACUUUGCUAUGUAGAGUUGCUCUAACUUGAUUCUGGACAGACAGGGUUUUUGGGUUAUUUGGGGUCCUUAUCCACCUGUGAUCAUGGUGAAACUUUAUGUGGACACCAAACAAGGCUUAGGGAUACCACUUGAAUUUUCUAGGGAUUUAUUGAGAAUAUUUCCUUUGGAAAUAUUUCAAAAUGCCAAAACAGACAGAAAUAGCUUAUAUAGUUUUAAUCAACAAAUAUAAUAUAAAAUGGGGUUUAAUAUCCUAUGUAUGGAAAAUAUAUGUCCUUCUAAUCAUCUCUAAAUUUAAUCAGAUUUUUUCAAGGCAGAAAAGUAUUUUCCCAUGUUGGAAUACCAAUUCUGGCCUCAGAAAUGGACAGGUUAUUUAAUUAUAAAAAUAAUCACAAAAAUAAAUAUUUUUGUGGUUUUUAAAUAUAAAGACAGGUAAAAAUCAGAUUACCAAAUAUGAGUAGAAGCACUGCUUGCUAUCAAGGACAUGUAGUGCAACUCAAGGUGGUUUUACUUUGGUCAGCAAAGGUUUUUGGAAAUCAGUAUAAUACCAAAGGAAUUUAGGGUUUAAAACCUCACAUGAACAAGCAUACAAGCAUACAAUGUCACUCAUGGCACUCACCACAUUAGUUUUGAAAAAGUUUUUAACAAGCUCAGAAUUUUACAACACAGACAAGUGAUAGCAAAAACAGGGUGUGACAACGGUAAUGCCUCCCUUCUUAGGGACGCAAUGCACCGGACUCACCCAAUCGCUAUGAGCAAGAUGAUAGAUGAUACCUGCUUCCAGGAGCUUUAGUAUUUCUUUUCGUACUACUUUCAUCUUAGGAUUCAAUCUCCUUUGAUGAUCAGCAACUGGUUUGAAGUCAGGAUCAAUUUUAAUCUUGUGCUGGCAUAGAGUGGGACUAAUGCCUUUAAGAUCAUCAAGAGUAUAUCCAAUAGCAGCACGGUGCUUCCUCAGAGUUUUUAGUAACUUCUUUUCUUCGUGCUCCGAGAGGCUAGCACUAAUAAUAACAGGAUAUCUCUAUUUUUCAUCAAGAUAGGCAUACUUAAGAGUAUCAGGCAACUGUUUAAGCUCGAACACAGGAUCACCCUUUGGUGGAAGUGGAUCCCCAAGCAGUUCAACAUGCAAGUUAUUCUUAAGGAUGGGAUAUUAUUCUAAGACAACUCUAUCUAUCUCAUCCCUUUCAUCCAUAUGCAUAUCAUUUUCAUGCUCAAGCAAAUAUUGCUCUAAGGGAUCAGUAGGAGGCACGGCAAUAGAGGCUAAGGCAAUAGUUUCAUCCCUACUAGGCAACUCUUUUUCAUGAGGUUGUCUACCAAACUUGGAGAAGUUGAACUCAUGUGACACACCUUCAAAGCCAACAGUGACAGUUUGCUUCUCACAAUCAAUAUGAGCAUUGACGGUAUUGAGAAAAGGUCUACCAAAUAUGAUGGGACAAAAGCUAUCUUCUGCGGUAGCAAGAACGAGGAAAUCAGCAGGAUACUUCGUUUUACCACACAAGACUUCAACAUCCCUAACAAUUCCCACAGGGCAGAUAGUAUCUCUAUUGGCAAGCUGAAUAGUGACAUCAAUGGGUUCUAUCUCAACAGGUGCAAUCUCAUCUUUGAUUUCAUCAUAUAAGGAUUGAGGUAUUGCACUAACACUAGCACCCACGUCACAUAAACCAUGACAACAAUGAUCUCCUAUCUUAACAGAAACCACAGGCGUGCCAACAACAGACCUAUGUUUGUCUCUAACGUGAGGUUUAGCAAUUCUAGCAGCAUCUUCACAGAAGUGAAUAUUAUGUCCCUCAACAUCGUCGAACAGAAGAUCUUUGAUAAUAGCAAUGCUAGGUUCAACUCUAAUUUCCUCAGGGGGUGUAUGUGUUCUAAUAUAGCCUCUACGUAUGAUAGUUGAAGCUUUAGAAUGAUCCUUCAUCCUUACAGGGAAAGGUGGUUUCUCAAUGUAAGCACUGGGAACAACAUGAUCAUUAUAGGCAAUGACUUUCUCUUCAACUGGAGUGGGUUUAACUACAUUGAAUUCUAAAGGAGGAUGAUAUUUAAACCACUUCUCUUUGGGGAGAUCAAUAUGAGAAGCAAAUGAUUCACACAAUGAAGCUACUAUCUCAGAGUCAAGUCCAUACUUAGCGCUAAAGUCACUAAAGGUAUUUGUCUCAACAAAGGAUUUAACGCAAUCAAACGUGAAAUUGAUACCUAACUCCUUACCUUCUUCAAGCUCCCAAUCUUCAGAGUUGUGUUUAAUUCUCUCCAAUAAAUUCCAUUUGAAGUCAAUAUCUCUCUUCAUAAAAGAACUGGUACAAGAAGUGUCAAGCAUGGUGCGAUCAUCAUGAGAAAGCCGAGCAUAGAAGUUCUGAAUGAUAAUUUCUCUCGAGAGCUCAUGAUUGGGGCAUGAAUAUAGCAUUGAUUUAAGCCUCCCCCAAACUUGAGCGAUGCUUUCUCUGUCACGAGGCCAAAAUUUGUAAACAUAAUUCCGAUCACGAUGUACUAAAUGCAUAGGAUAAAACUUUUGAUGAAAUUCCAAUUUCAACCGAUUGUAAUCCCAUGAUCCAGUAUCAUCACAUAGCCUAUACCAUGUCAACGCCUUAUCCUUCAAAGAUAAAGGAAAGACCUUCUUCUUGACCUCAUCCUCGGGCACACCUGCAAGCUUAAAUAAACCACAAACUUCAUCUACAUAGAUUAGAUGCAAGUAUGGAUGUGAUGUUCCAUCUCCUGUAAAAGGAUUAGCCAGCAGUUUCUCAAGCAUACCCGAAGGAAAUUCAAAGAAAAUAUUUUCAGUAGGUGCAGCAACUUGAGGAGCAACUCUUUGUGCUUCCGUUCUAGGUGAAGAUACCCCGAACAAGCCCCUCAAAGGAUUAGUAUCCAUAGUGACAAGUGACAACAAAUUUCAGCACACUAUAUGAAUGUUUCCUUACCAAGUUCCACUUACCAAAGGCGCUUCACUCCGUGGCAACGGCGCCACAAAAGAGUCCUGAUGACCCACAAGUAUAGGGGAUCAAUCGUAGUCCUUUCAAUAAGUAAGAGUGUCGAACCCAACGAGGAGCAGAAGGAUCUGACAAGUGGUUUUCAGCAAGGAAAUAUCUGCAGGCACUGCAAUUUUCGGUAACAAGUGAUUGUGUUGUGAGAUGGUUCAUAGCAAGCAACAAGUAACAAAAGUAGCAACGAUGCAGCAAAGUGGCCCAAUCCCUUUUGUAGCAAGGGACGAACUUGUACAAAGUCUUAUAGGAGGAAAAACGCUCCCGAGGACACACGGUAAUUUCUGUCAUGCUAGUUUCAUCAUGUUCAUAUGAUUCGCGUUCGUUACUUUGAUAGUUUAAUAUGUGGGUGGACCGGCGCUUGGGUACUGCCCUUACUUGGACAAGCAUCCCACUUAUGAUUAACCCCUCUCGCAAGCAUCCGCAACUACGAAAGAAGAAUUAAGACAAAGUCUAACCAUAGCAUUAAACUAGUGGAUCCAAACCAACCCCUUACGAAGCAACGCAUAAACUAGGGUUUAAGCUUCUGUCACUCUAGCAACCCAUCAUCUACUUACUACUUCCCAAUGGUGAAGUGUUAUGUAGUCGACGUUCACAUAACACCACUAGAGGGAAAACAACAUACAACAUAUCAAAUUACAGAACGAAUACCAAAUUCACAUGACUACUAUUAGCAUGACUUAUCCCAUGUCCUCGGGAACAAAAGUAACUACGCACAAAGCAUAAUCAUAUUCAUGAUCAGAGAGGUAAUGAGUAGCAUCAAGGAUCUGAACACAAACUCUUCCACCAAAUAAUCCAACUAGCAUCAACUACAAAGAGUAAUCAACACUACUAGCAACCUUACAAGUACCAAUCGGAGUCGCGAGACGGAGAUUGGUUACAAGUGAUGAACUAGGGUUUGGAGAUGAGAUGGUGCUGAUGAAGAUGUUGAUGGUGACGAGUCCCCUCCGAUGAGAGGAGUGUUCGUGAUGACGAUGGCGACGAUUUCCCCCUCCGGGAGGGAAGUUUCUCUGGCAGGAUCGUCCUGUCGGAGCUCUAGAUUGGUUCUGCUCAAGUUCUGCCUCGUGACGGUGGCGAAUCCACGAAAAAGCUCCUCCUUGAUUUUUUCCUGGAUGAAACCCUUCAUAUAGCAAAAGAGGGGGCAAGUGGGCCAGUAGGGUGCCCACAAGCCCCCAUGGCGCGGCCUGGGGGGGGGGGGGGGACCGCGCGGUGCAGGCUUGUGGCCACCCCCUGGCGCCCCUCUGGCGCUUCUUCGGCCCAGUAUUUUUGAUAAAUCGGGAAAAAAAUCCUCGUUGAUUUUUACGGCGUUUGGAGUUGCGCAGAAUAGGUAUCUCAACUUUGCUCCACUUUUAGGCCAGAAUUCGAGUUGCCGGCAUUCUCCCUCUUCAUGUAAACCUUGCAAAAUAAGAGAGAAAAGGCAUAAGAAUUGUACCGCGAAGUGAAAUAACAGCCCAAGAAGCGAUAAAUAUCAACAUGAAAACAUGGUGCAAAAUGAACGUAUCAGUAAGCAUGUCACAGCCAAGGAGGCUGCGAUCCUGCAAGACGUCGAGGUGGGCGCCGAUAUGCGCCACCUUGGGAAUCGGCUUCGGGAACUUCGCCCCCCAGUUCAACUUCGUCGGAGGAAUGAUGUUGAAUGGGGGCAUGUUAAGGGCGUCGUGUGCAUGGUCGGCAUUCUUCACGUAGAAGAAGCCCCUCUGCCACUGCUUGAUGGACUCCUACAGCGGCAGCUGGGGGAAGCCGGACUUCGAGCGAUGAUGCACCAGUGCGGCUCCACACGGCAUCAUCGGGCGUGGCCCGGCGAGCUUCUCUAGCUUGGCCUACUCCAUCGCAAUGGACUGCUGCUUGAAGAAAAACAAGCUUCGCCACAGGUCGAGGCGGGGCUCGAUCCCCAGGAAGCCCUCGCACAAGAUAACAAAGGCCGACAGCUGCAGGAUGGCGUCCGGCGCCAGGUGGUGCGGCUGCAGGCCGAAGAAGUUAAGCCAGUCGGAGAAGAAAGGGCUCGCCGGGAGCCCAAAGCCCCUGUAGAAGUGCUCGUCAAAUACGACGAUUCCCUCUUCCGGUGUCGGAGUUGUCUCGGCGCCAGGGAUCCGCACCAACACCUCGGAGGUCGGGGGCAACGUCCGGUGGUGGCGGAGCGCCUCGAUGCGGCCUUCGCAGAUCUCGCUGCCAAGCCAGGCUCCCUGAGACGAAGUCUUCUUCGAGGGGGAGCCGCCGUCCAUGACUGCGGGCGGCGGAUGCUCGGGAAGGCUGGGGGCGCAACGGUGACGAAGAAGAAGAAGACGAAGGUGGACGACCUCUUUCUCUCUCGGCUCAGGAAGGAAGAGGGCAUCGAUGCGGGGCGAGAAGGGGGCGAGUGGCCUCCUCGGAACCCCCGCAUCCCAUUUAAACCCCACGAAGCGUCGUGGGGAGGGGAUCCAUGCUACCUCUUGAGCUUGCGUUGGUUUUUUCCCUUGAAGAGGAAAGGGUGAUGCAGCAUAGUAGCAGUAAGUAUUUCCCUCAGUUUUGAGAACCAAGGUAUCAAUCCAGUAGGAGUAUCAAGAUGAAGCACUGAUGUACCUGUGCAGAAACAGCAAACUUGCACCCAAUGCUACGAAGGGGUUGUCAAUCCCUUCACGAUUGAUUGCAAGGUGAGAUCUGAAGGCGGAAAGUGCAACAAAGUAAAAGUGUAGGGUUGAAAAUAUGAUGUGAAGUAGACCCGGGGGCCAUAGUGUUCACUAGAGGCUUCUCUCAAGAUAGCAAAUAUUACGGUGGGUGAACGAAUUACUGUCGAGCAAUUGAUAGAACCGCGCAAAGUCAUGACGAUAUCUAAGGCAAUGAUCAUACAUAUAGGCAUCACGUCCGAGGCAAUGAUCAUACAUAUCUAAGGCAAUGAUCAUCAUACAUAUAGGUGACAGAAGCUUGUGGCGGCGGAAAAGUAUUUUCGUGGAUCUCUCUCAUGGUUUUGGAUUUUUGGGGGAUUUAUAGGCGGAAGAAGUAGGGCAGACGAGCCACAGGGGGCCCACAAGCCUGCUAGGCGCGCCCCCUGGCCGCACCUAGGGGGCUUGUGGCCUCCCCUGGUGGCCUCUGCCUUGGUUCUCACGCUCUCUACAUAUCUUCUGUUCCGAAAAAAUCUUUUCAGAGGUUUUAUUCCGUUUGGACUCCGUUUAAUAUUCUCCUCUGAAAAGGGUCAAAAACACAGAAAAACAGGAACUGGCACUUGGCACUGAGUUAAUAAGUUAGUCCCAAAAAAGAUAGAAAAGGCAUACAAAACAUCCAAAGUUUGACAAGAUAAUAGCAUGGAACCAUCAAAAAUUAUAGAUACGUUGGAGAUGUAUCAAUCCGGUGCGCGCGGAGCCCCACUAACCCCGUGUAUUACUGGUGGUAACGGUUCCCGAAACCCAACCGCCGUGGAGUAAAUCCGGAGAGGAUCUUCCGCACGGAGGCCGCGAGGGCGUCGUGGCGGGACCCAGGGCCCAGGCCCGGUCCCGUCACCAGUAAUAACCAUCAUUACGUCACGCCGGGCCUGGCACGUGGCGCAACCUGCGCGGCCUACGACGAAGCCGAGGCGUCGCUUCCAAGCCAGACGCCUCCCGACCCGAGGAACCCUGCCGCAGGUGGCGGCAGAAAUACAAUGACGAAAAUCAAGUCGGUGAGGCCACCCGCCAGCAUGCGGAGGGCCUCUCCAGCUUCGGGGACUACUGUCGGGGGGAUAACGCCGGGGUAGGCUCAGCGAGCCUGCUCCUUUAUCUCUGGCCCCAAAGGAAUGACCAAGAACCAUUUUGCAAGGCCCAAGUCCUCUAGCCGGCUAGGCCACACCUACCGGCUAGGGGGCGAGACGGCUAAUUCUCUGGCCGGCCGGGCAACACCUACCGGUUAGAGGCAAGACUGCUACCUCUUCCUGGCCGCCUAGGCCAAGCCAGCCGGGUAGGAACGAGGCGGCCGUGCCUAAGCUGGCUAGCCAAGCAGGCUAGCCUGCUCGGGAUCUCAAGCCACAUCCGAUCGUAGGUCAUGACGAGACCCUACGAUUAAAGGAGGCUACGCCUCAGCAAAGGUACUGGAUUGGAGUGCACGGCGGGUACCAGCGUCAGCGGCCACGCCGCUGACCUACCCCGGCUCUGAUCAAUCACCCAACAUAGUGUCGGCCGUCAAACUCCCACUCCAUUACUGCACUCGGCGUGGGAACAGUGGAGGCGGUCGUACCGUCUGCCCAUGACGAAUCUCGCUGGACGACGCCGGACGUACUGCGCGUGCCCUGCGUCAACCUUAUGCGAGAGCUCCAUUGGCUAGCCGGCGGGUCCCACAGUGAGACGGGACCUCGCAGCCGACGGGGCCCUCAAGCGACAAGACAAGACCCUCGUGGCCCCCCUGGCCAGCGGGGUCCCACUCUUGUACCUUUUAUCCAUAUUGUAGGCCGGUGGGUUCGUCUGUAAAAUCCCCCGGUCCCCCUCCAUGCAGAGGGUCGGUCAACAGAUUACACACACACUCACCAACCACAUAGGAGAGGCAGAGACGAGCCGGCUGCUCCCCUCUUCCUCCUCCGCAAUACAGCUCUAGGAGCAAUCUUGUAAUCCCAUCCAUAUACAUCAUACACUCCGGCAGGACUAGGGGUAUUAUCUCUACGGAGAGCCUUGAACCUGGGUACAUCGUGCAUUCCAUGCUUGUACCAACCUCGUCCCCAGCGCCCUCCGUUGCCACUUCGGUUUUCACUGACUUUAGCCUACCUAUGGCAUAUGUUGUGAGUAUUCACCGACAUGAAGUCAGAGGUUGAAUAAGGUGGCUUCCUUGAAGCCGGAACCUUCCUCCGCUUUGCGCCCGCGGCCUUGCGGGCCUUCUCCGCCGCCGACCGGGAUCGCACUGCGGCGUUGGUGCCCGGAGCACGGGCCGUCGCGGCGGGGGCAGCCGGAUUCCCGCCCCGCACGACCACGUUGCCCUGCCGCUUGCGGGAAGGCGCGACGUGUGCUUGGGAGACGGCGGCGAGGGCAACAUGGUCGGCGACGAGAUCCGCCCGAAGGGAAGGAGCAUGCGCGACCUCGACGGUGACGGGGGACAGCAUGGGGUCCUCCAUGGUGGCGAGGAAUGACCGGGGAGGAGGAGCCGGAGCUUGCGGAGGGGGGCAAUGGUGGCGGAGGGUGCGGGGAGCGGGGAAAGGGCGCGCGGAAAUGUCCCUCCCGCCAAAUCUCGCGUCGGAUAGGGGUUCAGCUCGGAUCGGCCUCCCAGCCCGUCAAGAUAGAGGUUGGGGGAGAAGAUUUGCCGCGCCCCGUAAAAAUUUUUACGGACCGGAACGGGAUGCGGGAUCUGAUCGUGCGGAUUUUCCGGCCCCGGCCCGCAAUUUGAUGGUUAUUUUACGGACCGGGGCGGGAUGCGGGGUCUCCUAGAGUUGCUUUUACAAAGUGCUCAUAGCCUUCCAGCCAAUGGCAGCUGACUGCGAACGUGGGUUCUCCAUUCGAUGAGAAAAAGUAUGACUGCUUUGAUAUUGACUUAUCCCCACAAUAAAUAGAACACAUGAGAUCAAAGCCUAGAAGAGGAACUGGAAAGGAAAAUAAGCUGAGUUCCCUUUAUCUACUCUAUACUUCGUUUUCUCAUGCAAUUUUUGCAUGGGCUGCCGGAGUAUAAGAAAACGACUGAUACGAUUUGGCUUUGCUGCAUGGGAUUUCAUUAUGGGAGCUUUAGAUAUGCUUGGAUCACACGCAAUAUAUGUAGAUACGAUUGUUGCUUCCUUAUUUUUUGUUUCAUGUUUAUGUGUUCGGAUAUUUUUCAAACCUUAUACGUACCAAGUAAUUAUGUUGUUUUGUAGGUUCGUCGAAUACAUUCGUUGAUGCUCUGGACGGCAUUUGACUGCCGUAUGUUGCCGUAUGUAUCUAAUUAGGUUUACAAGACACUUGCUUUUUUUCGCCAUUUGUACCUUGAAUGAGUUUAUAAGUUAUUAGUUUUUUUAUUUCCCUUCAUUUUGUCGAUACUCAACUACUCGAGAUUCCAAGAGCAUAAUCUUAGCAAGAACUUCCAUUUAGAAGUUGCGAGGUAAUAAUGAGGUUCAACAAAGAAGGCUGCAAAUAAUUUAUUUAUUUAGUUGUUGCACAUCCAUACAUGUCAACAGUAUUGUCAAUAGAUAAUGGAGAAUGUAAUUUUCAAAAUACGUGAUGAACUAUGGAACGUCCAUGGAUGACUAUACUAUGGAAUGAACAAGGCCCUAACUCAUGACGAUUCGGGAAGAGGUGGUUGCUACCCUCCGGAACGACGAAUCUUUGAGUCAACUUCAAAUGGUCAAUCUCUCCCUAAUAAUAAAGCAGCCAAUGCUUAUGUCGUCCGUCAUGACGGUUUUGCAAAAAAACCCUUUGGUUUUUUAAAAUCAACCUGCAGUCCUCCGUUAAGUGAAAAAAAAAGGGNNNNNNNNNNNNNNNNNNNNNNNNNNNNNNNNNNNNNNNNNNNNNNNNNNNNNNNNNNNNNNNNNNNNNNNNNNNNNNNNNNNNNNNNNNNNNNNNNNNNNNNNNNNNNNNNNNNNNNNNNNNNNNNNNNNNNNNNNNNNNNNNNNNNNNNNNNNNNNNNNNNNNNNNNNNNNNNNNNNNNNNNNNNNNNNNNNNNNNNNNNNNNNNNNNNNNNNNNNNNNNNNNNNNNNNNNNNNNNNNNNNNNNNNNNNNNNNNNNNNNNNNNNNNNNNNNNNNNNNNNNNNNNNNNNNNNNNNNNNNNNNNNNNNNNNNNNNNNNNNNNNNNNNNNNNNNNNNNNNNNNNNNNNNNNNNNNNNNNNNNNNNNNNNNNNNNNNNNNNNNNNNNNNNNCUGCCUCCUUUCGUUCUGAUCUUUGCAGUCGGCAGGGGCAGCACGCCACAUCGAUUCAGUUUCACAGCUACAACUUACAAAUUCAACCACUGAAGGUAUAAUUGAUAAUUAGAUGUACUGAUCCUUCUAUUUCUAAAAUUGGGAUCUCUUCGCUCAUGCAGCCAUGCUGCUACUUGUUUGAAACAGUCAUGCUAAUUCGAUUUCCCAAUUUAUCUAUCAAUGCAGGUGCAGGCAUGCGCACAGUUUUGUGCUUGUUGUCAAUCACGCUGCAGUAUAGACGUGCAAGAGUAAGUUUAUUUGAUCAGUUGGUGCAAGUUCUUUCUGUAAAAAAUGUUUCUAAUGUAUAAAAAACUGAACAAUGAUGCUUAUACAAACUUUACGUAAACCAAUGGCUUAGCUUUGAUUUUUCAUAUUUUUUUAAACCGUUUUGCUAAUGAUUUUUUUUUAAGUAUAUGGAUGUUGAUAUGCAACCUUGAACAUUUGGCAUGCAUGUACUUACAAAUUUAUUGUUUUUGAUGAAGAUGUCUAAUAUGUUUGCAACCAAAUUAAGACAUUACUUGGAUUACAAAUGCAAACACUUAUAUCAGCAAGACAAAAAUAAUGCUCUUAUGCGUAUGCUAUCAUUAAUUAAUAAAACACACUUUGCUAUUUUCAUCAUAAUGCAAAUAUUUAUGGACAUCACCGAGGAGGAGAGAGACCAUGCAACUUGAAACAACAAGUAAGAUCAUAUCCAUGCUUACUUAUUAUAUGUUCAUUAAUAAUAUAAGUUCACAUGACAUAAAUUUAAAUUGUUUGGAAUACCUACACGCAAUAUUCUUUCAUACUUUGAUUUCUUGAUUUAUUAAUUAAAUAUGCAUCGAGUUGACGUAUAAUCUCUCUGUAACUAAGCAUACUGAACGUACUGAAUUUUUUCUCAGAGAGAAAGAGGGAUCUUAAAAUGCGAUGUCAUUUAAAACUAAAAGACGUGGACCUAUUAAGGUCUUGAGUCGUGGUUAUUGUGUCAAGAGUGCGUGUUAUUUUCUCUUCCGUUGCAACGCACGGGCUCUUUUGCUAGUAAGACUUACAAACUAAAAUUUGUUUCACGUGUGUUAAACACUAAACUAGACACCAAAGUUACAACUAUUGAUUCAUAUCUUACAUUACGAAAAAUGUCCGAAUGCACGGAUUGAUGACUAGUAUGAUUAAAUUUUUGAGGCGUGACAUGAUAGUGGCAAAUAGGUAAGAGACAUCAUAGAACACACCAUAUCCAAUAAAGUAUGAUUACGACGUUUGGACAUACCAUUACGUUGUGGUGUUCCAGACGACGUGAGCUGUGAAAUAAUUUCACAUUGUCUUAAGUGCAUGCCAAACCCAUAACUCAGAUAUUCUCCUCCUCGAUUAGAUCAUAGGAAUUUAAUAUUCUUGUUACGAUGAUUCUCAACUUUAUUCUGAAAUUGCAUGAACUUUUCAAACAUUUCAGACUUGUGUUUCAUCAAGUAAAUAUACUCAUAUCUACUCAAAUCAUAGGUGAAGGUGAGAAAGUAACGAUAUCCACCGCACGCCUCAACACUCAUUGAACCGCACAUAUCAGUAUGCAUGAUUUCCAACAAGUCACUUAUCCGUUUCAUUGUACCGGAAAACGGGGUUUUAGUCAUCUUGCCCAUGAGACAUGGUUCACAUGUGUUAAGUGAUUCAAAAUCAAGGAACUUCAAAAGUCCAUCAACAUGGAGCUUCUUCAUGCGUUUUACAUCAAUAUGACCUAAGCGGCAAUGCCACAAAAAGUGGUACUAUCAUCAUUAACUCUAAAUCUUUUGUCAUCAAUGUUUUAAAUAUGUGUAUCAUCACUAUCGAGAUUCAACAAAAAUAAAUCAUUUACAUUGGAUGCAUGAACAUAAAAGAUAUUACUCAUAUAAAUAGAACAACCAUUAUUUUCUGAUUUAAAUGAGUAACCGUCUCACAUUAAAUAAGAUCCAGAUAUAAUGCCCAUGUUUAACGCAGACACCAAAUAACAAUUAUUUAGGUUCAUCACUAAUCCCGAUGGUAAUCGAAGAGCGAGCGUGCCAACAGCGAUCACAUCAAUCUUGGAACCAUUUCCCACGCGCAUCGUCACUUCAUACUUUGCCAACCUCCGUUUAUUCCGUAGUUCCUGCUUCAAGUUACAAAUAUGAGUAACCGAACCGAUAUCAAAUACCCAGAUACUACUACGAGAGCUAGUAAGGUACACAUCAAUAACAUGUAUAUCAUAUAUACCUGUGUUGACUUUGUCAGCCGUGUUAUCAGCGAGAUACUUGGGGUAGUUCUGCUUCGAGUGCCCAGUUCACUUGCAAUAGAAGCACUCAGCCCGAGGCUUGGGUCCAGCCUUGGGUUUCUUCACGGGAGCGACAACUGCUUUGACGUUCUUCGUGAAGUUACCCUUCUUUCCCUUGCCCUUCCUGAAACUAGUGGUUUUAUUGACCAUCAACACUUAUGCUCCUUCUUGAUUUCUACUUCCGCGACUUUCAGCAUCAUGAACAACUCGAAGUCUGACAUGUUCAUCCCUUGCAUAUUAUAGUUUAUCAUGAAGCCCUUGUAGCUAGGUGACAGUGACUGGAGAACUCUGUUAGUGAUCAUCUCGAGCAGAAGCUCAACUCCAGCCGAGUCAAAUGGUUGUAAUACCCAGACAUUCUAAGUAUGUUCUCACUGACAGAACUAUUCUCCUCCAUCUUGCAGGCAAAGAAUUUAUGAGAGGUCGCAUACCUCAUGAUCCGGGCAUUUGCUUGAAAAACAAAGUUCAACUCCUGGAACGUCUUUGAAGUCCCAAUUCUAGGUUGUACAACAUGGCACACUAAACUAUCGUUUAGUCAUCAACACGCGCCAGACGUUCACAACAUCCACAGACGACGCUGGAGGGGGUGGCGCACCAAGCGACGCUUCAAGGACAUAAGCCUUUUGCGAAGCCGUAAGGAUAAUCCUCAGAUUACAGACCGAAUCUGUAAAGUUGCUUCCAUCAUCUUUGAGCUUAACUUUCUCUAGGAACGAAUUAAAAUUAAGGGGAGCUACUGCGCGAGCCAUUGAUCUACAACAUAAUUUACAAAGACAACUUAUACUAUCGUUCAUGAUAAUGAGUUUAAUUAAUCAUAUGACUCAAAAACUCCCACUCAAAUCAACAUCUCUCAGGUUGUCUGAGUGUAACAUGACCCAAAUUCACCAACUCAAGUCCGAUCAUCACAUGAGAUGAGGUGGUUUCAAUGGUGAACAUCUCCAUAUUGAUAAUAUCUACUAUAUGACUCAUGUUCGACCUUUUGGUAUCUUGUGUUCUGAGGUCAUGUCUGUACAUGCUAAACUCAGACAUAUAAAUAAAUCGAAAAGAUAACGCCCACACGUGUGGACGUUUGCAAACCGCCCACACACAUGUGGAUUGCCGUCCGUUUGUGGUUGCACAAAUCUUGGUAAGUUUUGCCAGAUUUUCUACGCCACGUGGGACUGGGCUGGUGUGUGGGCGUUUUAUCAAUUCACCCACACGCUUGUUUCACGCACGCAAAGCUCGCGGCUGCCAACCCAACGUGUGGUGGAACUGACGUCGCGUCCACAAGCCUAUCAGUUGUCAUGUCUUUCCAGUGUUACAUGACAACUGAGUGAAACUAACGUCGCGCGCCUACACGCCUGUCAGUUGCCAUGUAUUUUCCAGUGUUACAUGGCAACCGGGUGGAACUUCCAUCGCACGCCCACAUGCCUCUCAGUUGGUUCAAACAUGACGGUUGCAGUUGAGCAACCAUGACAACUGUAGUUGUUCAGACGUUGCCAUGGUUCAGCAACCAUAACAACUAUCACGCGAGGGGCACGCGGGACCGCGAGGUGGUAGGCUGGAUGUGUGGGUCGCGAGAGCAAGAGGCCAGACGUGUGGGUUAUAGCUGUUUUGCCCACACGUAGAUGCGUGGACUGUUUUCCUUACACAUCAAACAAAACAUAUGGCAAGACUUCCUUAACGUCCACACUGUUAGGAAUAUGCAACUUGUCUCUAUUGAAGGCCCAAGGGGCAUAUAUAUAUUACACAUGACUUGAGGUGGAAGGAAAGUAAACAUAGACUAAUAAGGACUCCUAGACUAAUACUAAUAGACUAAUAAGGACUCCUAGACUAAUACUAAUAGACUAAUAAGGACUCCUAGACUAAUACUAAUACUUCCUAACACCCCCCCCCCCCUCAAAUGCAAAGCGUAUGCAAUAGCAUUGCAUUUGAAGAAGUGUAAUACUAAAAAAAUGAUAAUCCAAAUCCGCGUCUUGAGAGUGUCGUCGUAGCAUGAAGAGUCUUCAAAACUUGUCGAGUCGCCGAAGGAGAUAACGAAGAGAUGACACAUAUCAGAGGUAGACACCGCAUCACUUGAAGAUACAACAUAAGUAUCAAGAGAAGAUGGGUUGUCAAAAGAAGAUGGCACAUCAAGAGGAAGACACCGAAGAGAUGGCACAUCAGAGGAAGACACCAAAGAGAUGGCACAUCAGAGGAAGACACCGCAUCACUUGAAGAUACAUCAUAAGUAUCAAGAGAAGAUGGGUUGUCAAAAGAAGAUGGCACAUCAAGAGAAUAAAGCAUUGCGCAGAAAAUCAUAGUCCACGACAACCGUCGACAAAAGCUCGGCGGAUAAGGCAGGAUGGACGUAGACCGACAAUGCAAAAGAAAUCCAGACAAUCCUAUAGAAAACAACAAGGGCAAGUAGGCCACAAAAGUUGUAUAGAAAGGAUCAGGACCAAAGAAAAGGCCGACAGACAAAGGUAUGGUGGACUCGCAUGGCAUGAGAAAACACAAAUAUCAACGGAUUUGAUGGACGCAGCGGAAAACAGGAAAGCUAAAUGCUAGGAAGCAUACACGACACAAAGAUGCAAAAUUCAUCGUGUAUGCAGAAGACAUUGAACCUUUUUUUAAUAUAUAUACUUUUUAAGAAUCACAGUCAAUGAGCAGCGUCCGCGUCUGAAACCGCGUCCGCGUCAACAACAGGUUUGGAUGCGCCUCAUCUGGCGAGAGGGGAGCCGGCGCUGGAUCCCUUGUGAACGUGGCAGAGUAGGUCUGGCAGCGGGCGCCUCCAAUCCUGUUGGAUCCCUCGUGGAUAGCAGGUGUGGCAGUGGGCGCCUCCAAUCCUGUUGGAUCCCUCGUGGAGAGCAGGUCUGGCAGCGGGCGCCUCGAUCUGGCGGGACCUGCGGCCGCCAGAGGAGCAGGGCCUCACGAGAUUGGGGAUCGGUGGAUUGGGGAUCGGCAACUACGGAUCGGAUCAGACCGGUGCAGAGCUGACGGCGCGGGAAUCAACGGCAGCGACCAGAUCGGGAGAUCGGCAGGAUCGGGAGCAGCUCUUCCAGCGGGACGAGCUGAACCAGGCGGGACUGGUGGGAUCUGGAGAAGCAGCGACGGCCGAUCGGGACAGCAGCUGCGGCGAUCGACACGAACGGGGAGGAGAGGAGGGUGGGUAGACCGGCUGCUAGGAUGGAUAGAAGACGAGGGAAUAGAUUGGAUCGGGAGGGCGAGUUGCGGCGCCCCAAAAAAAUAACCUAAGCUCUAAUACAAUGUUAGGAAUAUGCAACUUGUCUUUAUUGAAGGCCCAAGGGGCAUAUAUAUAUUACACAUGACUUGAGGUGCAAGGAAAGUAAACAUAGACUAAUAAGGACUCCUAGACUAAUACUANNNNNNNNNNNNNNNNNNNNNNNNNNNNNNNNNNNNNNNNNNNNNNNNNNNNNNNNNNNNNNNNNNNNNNNNNNNNNNNNNNNNNNNNNNNNNNNNNNNNCUUAACCUUUGUACCAAAAACCAAAGUAGGAGUACUUUUCCAAUUUGAGACUCCUAGAUUUCUGCAUAGUAUUCAAAGUAGGAGUACUUUUCCAAUUUGAGCAUUCAAUAAGCAAAACCAAAUCGUAAAAUAAAGUAGUAUUCAAAUUAGCAUGCAUUCAAUUAUAAGCUAAUACAUCAUCACUUUUGUCCGUACAUCGUCGAAUAUUAUCACUAAUACUCCUCGAAUACUAUCAUACAUAUAGCAUCACUAAUACAUCUAGAACCGUAGCGCCCGACGGGUAUCGGCGCGGGCGGUGGACAACCAAAGAGAAGGAACCAUCACAGGAUCAUAGCUCCAGUGAGAUCCCCAAAGAACCUGCCAGGUAUGCUCGAACCUGCCCUCCAACGCAACCAUGUAGCGACGGAUGUGCUCAUCCUCCUCGCUGACACGGUGACGUACCACCUNAAAAGUUGAGAGGGCUACGACAAAAACUGGAUGCAGUUCGUGUACAAAACUGACAAUCUCUCUCGAAGUAGCAGGGUUUCGAACGAGAACUCAUCUCUUACAAAGGGAUUUCAUUUUUUUUGAACUUAUUUGAACUCCAUACUUUUUGUGUAUUCAAAAUGCACCAUUCAAAGGCACAUCACAAAAUUUCAACAAUUUCUGACUUCAUUUGGUAUAUUUCGUGCAUUUACUUAUUUUUUUUGAGCUAGUUGACCCUGAAAUUGAAAAGCACUACAAAUGAACUCUGAAAAUGUUGAAAGUUGGCAUGCUAUCAUCAUUUCACCCACAUAGCAUGUGUUAAAAAGUUGAGAGGGCUACGACAAAAACUGGAUGCAGUUCGUGUACAAAACUGACAAUCUCUCUCGAAGUAGCAGGGUUUCGAACGAGAACUCAUCUCUUACAAAGGGAUUUCAUUUUUUUUGAACUUAUUUGAACUCCAUACUUUUUGUGUAUUCAAAAUGCACCAUUCAAAGGCACAUCACAAAAUUUCAACAAUUUCUGACUUCAUUUGGUAUAUUUCGUGCAUUUACUUAUUUUUUUUGAGCUAGUUGACCCUGAAAUUGAAAAGCACUACAAAUGAACUCUGAAAAUGUUGAAAGUUGGCAUGCUAUCAUCAUUUCACCCACAUAGCAUGUGUUAAAAAGUUGAGAGGGCUACGACAAAAACUGGAUGCAGUUCGUGUACAAAACUGACAAUCUCUCUCGAAGUAGCAGGGUUUCGAACGAGAACUCAUCUCUUACAAAGGGAUUUCAUUUUUUUUGAACUUAUUUGAACUCCAUACUUUUUGUGUAUUCAAAAUGCACCAUUCAAAGGCACAUCACAAAAUUUCAACAAUUUCUGACUUCAUUUGGUAUAUUUCGUGCAUUUACUUAUUUUUUUUGAGCUAGUUGACCCUGAAAUUGAAAAGCACUACAAAUGAACUCUGAAAAUGUUGAAAGUUGGCAUGCUAUCAUCAUUUCACCCACAUAGCAUGUGUUAAAAAGUUGAGAGGGCUACGACAAAAACUGGAUGCAGUUCGUGUACAAAACUGACAAUCUCUCUCGAAGUAGCAGGGUUUCGAACGAGAACUCAUCUCUUACAAAGGGAUUUCAUUUUUUUUGAACUUAUUUGAACUCCAUACUUUUUGUGUAUUCAAAAUGCACCAUUCAAAGGCACAUCACAAAAUUUCAACAAUUUCUGACUUCAUUUGGUAUAUUUCGUGCAUUUACUUAUUUUUUUUGAGCUAGUUGACCCUGAAAUUGAAAAGCACUACAAAUGAACUCUGAAAAUGUUGAAAGUUGGCAUGCUAUCAUCAUUUCACCCACAUAGCAUGUGUUAAAAAGUUGAGAGGGCUACGACAAAAACUGGAUGCAGUUCGUGUACAAAACUGACAAUCUCUCUCGAAGUAGCAGGGUUUCGAACGAGAACUCAUCUCUUACAAAGGGAUUUCAUUUUUUUUGAACUUAUUUGAACUCCAUACUUUUUGUGUAUUCAAAAUGCACCAUUCAAAGGCACAUCACAAAAUUUCAACAAUUUCUGACUUCAUUUGGUAUAUUUCGUGCAUUUACUUAUUUUUUUUGAGCUAGUUGACCCUGAAAUUGAAAAGCACUACAAAUGAACUCUGAAAAUGUUGAAAGUUGGCAUGCUAUCAUCAUUUCACCCACAUAGCAUGUGUUAAAAAGUUGAGAGGGCUACGACAAAAACUGGAUGCAGUUCGUGUACAAAACUGACAAUCUCUCUCGAAGUAGCAGGGUUUCGAACGAGAACUCAUCUCUUACAAAGGGAUUUCAUUUUUUUUGAACUUAUUUGAACUCCAUACUUUUUGUGUAUUCAAAAUGCACCAUUCAAAGGCACAUCACAAAAUUUCAACAAUUUCUGACUUCAUUUGGUAUAUUUCGUGCAUUUACUUAUUUUUUUUGAGCUAGUUGACCCUGAAAUUGAAAAGCACUACAAAUGAACUCUGAAAAUGUUGAAAGUUGGCAUGCUAUCAUCAUUUCACCCACAUAGCAUGUGUUAAAAAGUUGAGAGGGCUACGACAAAAACUGGAUGCAGUUCGUGUACAAAACUGACAAUCUCUCUCGAAGUAGCAGGGUUUCGAACGAGAACUCAUCUCUUACAAAGGGAUUUCAUUUUUUUUGAACUUAUUUGAACUCCAUACUUUUUGUGUAUUCAAAAUGCACCAUUCAAAGGCACAUCACAAAAUUUCAACAAUUUCUGACUUCAUUUGGUAUAUUUCGUGCAUUUACUUAUUUUUUUUGAGCUAGUUGACCCUGAAAUUGAAAAGCACUACAAAUGAACUCUGAAAAUGUUGAAAGUUGGCAUGCUAUCAUCAUUUCACCCACAUAGCAUGUGUUAAAAAGUUGAGAGGGCUACGACAAAAACUGGAUGCAGUUCGUGUACAAAACUGACAAUCUCUCUCGAAGUAGCAGGGUUUCGAACGAGAACUCAUCUCUUACAAAGGGAUUUCAUUUUUUUAACUUAUUUGAACUCCAUACUUUUUGUGUAUUGAAAAUGCACCAUUCAAAGGACAUCACAAAAUUUCAACAAUUUCUGACUUCAUUUGGUAUAUUUCGUGCAUUUACUUUUUUUUUUUGAGCUAGUUGACCGUGAAAUUGAAAAGCACUACAAAUGAACUCUCAAAAUGUUGAAAGUUGGCAUGCUAUCAUAAUUUCACCCACAUAGCAUGUUUUAGAAAGUUGAGAGGGCUACGACAAAAACUGGAUGCAGUUCGUAUACAAAACUGACAAUCUCUCUCAAAAUAGCAGGGUUUCGAACGAGAACUCAUCUCUUAAAGGGAUUUCAUUUUUUUUGAACUUAUUUGAACUCCAUACUUUUUGUGUAUUCAAAAUGCACCAUUCAAAGGCACAUCACAAAAUUUCAACAAUUUCUGACUUCAUUUGGUAUAUUUCGUGCAUUUACUUAUUUUUUUUGAGCUAGUUGACCCUGAAAUUGAAAAGCACUACAAAUGAACUCUGAAAAUGUUGAAAGUUGGCAUGCUAUCAUCAUUUCACCCACAUAGCAUGUGUUAAAAAGUUGAGAGGGCUACGACAAAAACUGGAUGCAGUUCGUGUACAAAACUGACAAUCUCUCUCGAAGUAGCAGGGUUUCGAACGAGAACUCAUCUCUUACAAAGGGAUUUCAUUUUUUUAACUUAUUUGAACUCCAUACUUUUUGUGUGUUCAAAAUGCACCAUUCAAAGGCACAUCACAAAGGGAUUUCUUCUUCUCUCAUAUAUGGUGGACACUAGCUCACCUGAUUUUUCAACCGUCGAUGAUGGUCGCUACUCCUACUUCCCCUAGUGCAUAACCAAUAUCUAGCACAAGGAUAAGAAGGAGAAGCGACCCCCACAACAAAAGUUGUUCCGCGGCACGCCACGUGGUUCCGCUGCACGCCACGUGGGACUAGUGGUCUUUCAUUUUUAAAUGAUUGUUUUAAUCAAAAACAGAUCUGUUACAAAAGGGAUUUCAUUUUUUGAAUGAAGACUUUUUCNNNNNNNNNNNNNNNNNNNNNNNNNNNNNNNNNNNNNNNNNNNNNNNNNNNNNNNNNNNNNNNNNNNNNNNNNNNNNNNNNNNNNNNNNNNNNNNNNNNNCGCGCGGUGGCUCUAAGGCCCCGCCGAGGUGGCCUCUCGUCGCCCCUCUCGCGAGCCGGCGGCCUCUUUUCCUCACCAUGUCAUGCAGCGGCGGCCCCCUCCGCUCCUCUUGCCGGUGCGCGCCCUCUCCCGAGGGAGAGUGCGCCGCCGUCAAGGGGGCGUUGGUGUGCCAUCCACCCUGCCAUUCUUUUCGUCCUUGAGCAGUACGAUGGCGCCAUCUCCGUCCCCUUUGCCGGCUGUGCGAGCACCUCUAGGGUGAACGCGCCGCCGUCAAACGGUUCGGUAGUGGCACCCUUUGCCUUUGUUUUGCAUAGUUCCCCCCUCUCUUUUUUGUUGUCUUUUGUCGGUUUCAAUCCGAUCUUCUUUUGGAUCGAAUAUGAUCCAUACUUUGUUUUUCCUUUCGGAUCUUGAUCCGUACUUAGCCCCCAAGGGGGUAGGUUCUUCUUCCCCGCACCUCAGCUUGCCGAUGCGUGUGGGGAUCGAGAGGAACAGGCGCGGCCUUGCGGCGGCGCUUCUUUUCCGACGAGGNNNNNNNNNNNNNNNNNNNNNNNNNNNNNNNNNNNNNNNNNNNNNNNNNNNNNNNNNNNNNNNNNNNNNNNNNNNNNNNNNNNNNNNNNNNNNNNNNNNNACUCCCUCUGUCAACUAAUAUAAGAGCGUGUAGAUUACUAAAAUAGUGUUCUAAAUGCUCUUAUAUUAGUUUACGGAGGGAGUAAUAGAUAACUAUUUUGAUCAUUUCUUUCUAUAUACACAUUGUUCUAUUAGAUUUUUUAUAAACUUACAUCAUAAGUGAAGUGGAUUAAUUGCUUCUCCAUUGUUACAUGCUGCCAUUUCUAUACAUUUGAAAUUUAUACAUGCAUUAUAAUUUUACAUGAAACCGACAAAAAAUAUAUUCAUAGCCCGUGGCAACGCACGUGUCAUUGUGUAGGCGUGUAUCAAAUUUAAUCUUAUUGGUUGGGUUCUCCCAUCUGUUGUUAGAGUUGUAUGAGUCCCUCCAGCCCACCGAUUAAAUGUUUCCUGUUGAUGUUGAGUUGGUCACGUGCCACAAACUUUCCACCAGACCAUCAGUUCGUUUCAUUCAUAUUGUAUUUCCAUUUUGUGGAUUGAACAUAUCUUACUUUGACAUACAGGGUCCUAACAUUCUACUGGAUGACUCUCUUUCGGUUGAGGUGGAUAAGAACUUGCUAAAUGCAGUUAAAGAUUCAAUUGUUCAAGGGUAGGCAUUAUGUUCUGUUAAUUCAAAUUUCCUUCAGAAUAUUUGUGAGUUCCUUAACCAUUUUAUUUACUGCCCUAACCUCAGGUUUCAGUGGGGUGCUAGAGAAGGCCCCUUGUGUGAUGAACCAAUUAGGAAUGUGAAGUUCAAGAUCCUAAAUGCAAAUAUCGCUCCAGAACCACUGCACCGUGGUGGCGGCCAAAUAAUCCCCACAGCUCGUCGGGUUGUCUACUCAGCAUUUCUGAUGGCCAAUCCUCGAAUUUUUUUGACCGAGCGGCCUGCCCGAACGUUUGAGGAGGGUUUGAGGGGUCCGGUUGUAGAUGUUGUAAGUUCUUCUAGACAUAUUUCUCUGGACAAACACUUCAUUGUUGAAGACUGGUUCUUCUAGCUAGAAAGAUGAUUAAAAAAAAAGCUAAGGUAAUGUUGGUUCAUUCAUUUUGAAUUACUUUUAUCAGGGAAAGUCAAAUCCCACUGAAUCGUCUAACCAGGGCUAAACUCCUGUGGAAUCAGGUAGUAAAUCGUCUGUGCCAGCAAGGAUCUUGAUAUCCAAACCAGUUAUUGUGUCGUCCAGAAGUAGUGCUGAAACUGUACUUUGUAUCCUAUUGGGUUGUUCAGAUGUUUUGUUUUAGAAAGAAAGAAAAAGUAAAGAGGCUGAACCAAAAUAUGUAGGCAACAUGUACACAAAACAUUGAACACUUUAAGGCAGAGUAGGCAUGUCAAUAUACGGCAGCAUAUCACAUCUACACGCUACAGCAGCAGCAUGUCAGCAAGAGGAGGAAGCUAAGAUUAACAAGUAUCUAUUACAUCUUUCCCGGGCUGGUGAAUCUUGAGCUGCUGAGCGCGUUCUUCAUUAAGUCGAGAUGUAGGCGAGUGCGGCAGCUACAUCCACCAUCUCAGGUCUCUCGCUGGCAGUUCUUUUGAGGCACAUGCGAGCAAUGGUGAGUGCCCUGCACAAUUCUGUGAUGCUGUAUUGAUUUGUAAGCAUUUGAUCUACCAACGUUCCAAAAUCCUUUCUGGCGAUCAAGUUGGCGGCCUGAAAUUAUACAUUAACAAAAGUCACAAAAAUUAAUCUUCAUCGCAUACAGUUUUCCCUUUCUGUUGACCCAAUGUAAUAAAAGAAGAUAUGCACGAAUCUGUGCUAAUCAAAUGGUUAAAAACUACUGAUAGAGUAAGUAAAACUUAAGCUUAUGAUGCUUCUGCUUGCCAGUUUUCAGAAGCAAAUUGAGAUCAGAAAUCACCACAACGUCCCCUUGCUACAGACUUAUAGCAUUGGGGAGAAGCAAGGACUAGUUCUUCAAAAGAAAAAUAAAACGCAGGAAGUGAUGCUUACCCAUUGAACAAGAGUAAGCUCAGCUCCCAUUCGAUUCUGACCCAUUGAAUAAGGGUAAGCCUUUCUUCCUGUGAUAACCUCCAGUAUAACAACACCAAAGCUGUAAACAUCUGACUUGGUAGUCAACUGACCGCUCUCAAGAUACUCUGGCGCACAAUACCAGGUGUACCCACCACUCUGCUUGGAACAAAAAAAUCUGAAAGUUUUGGAUGAUAUCCCUCGCCAAGCAAAAUAUUCGCGCAUUUCACUCCACAGUUUAUGACAGGAGGGUUGCAGUUAACAUGCAAAUGCUUCAGGCCUUGAGCUGCCCCAGCAAGUAUCUUCAUCCUUGUAUUCCAGUCAAGAGGCUUCUUAUCAGGGGGAAGAUCUGGGAAGAUAAGAAAAACAAAACCUAAUUCUGGUUAAACAAGCUUCUGAUUAUUCGGCAACAGUGUAAUGAAGUAGGGAACUAUUACACACAUGGUAGUUCAGUACCGUACCGAAAAUGUGAGUUUCCAGGGAACCCAGAGGCAUGAAUUCAUACACUAAAAGCCUCCGAUCAUCAUCAGCGCAGAAGCCAACAAGCUUGACAAGAUUCGGGUGAUUCAUCUUGCUCAACACCAUAACUUCUGUGCAGAAUUCUCUGCUCCCUUGCCAUCCCGGGUUGAGGAUCUUUAUUGCAACCUGUUGCAGCAACAUACAAGCGAAUCAUAUACUACAACAUCUCCUGAGCAAAACAACCUCACUAAACAAUAGCAUGGAUCGUCGACUACAUUAAAAAAUCGUGUUAUGUCUCCUCCCAUAACCGAUGUGGGACUAAACCGAACAGACGAUCCGCAUGCCGUGGCUCGAAGAGGUCGGAGCAGGGACCUGGCCGAGAGGAGGUGCGGAGGAGGUCGGAGCGGGGACCUGGCCGAGACGAGGCGCGGAGGAGGUCGGAGCAGGGACCUGACCGAGAGGAGGUCGGAAGAGGUCGGAGCAGGGACCAAGCGGAGAGGAGGCGCAGGGGAGGGGGCCCGGUGAGCCGCCGGACUGGAGCUCCCCAGCCGGAGCGCGGGCGCCGAGGAGAAACAGGCAUUGGAGGAGGCAGCGGGUGCGACGGCCUCCUGCGCAGGGGAGCCGGCCCCGAUCUUCCUCAUCUUGUUGCUUGUACUGGCGAGGUCGGACCCGAUCAUGUCUCCGUGCAGAGUUGGAUAGACCUUGGAUAGGACCAACUUAUCACCUCCUUCCAUGGCUCCCUCGUCCCAUGGCAGGGUGAGUUGUUGCAUUAGGUAUCCCAGGCGAAGCCUCUUCCCAUGGCCAUGGGGGCCGCUCACCUUGAACGAGAAGGUCUGUCGAUAACCUUGAAUGGAGCCGGAUAUGAGGGGAACGGGGGCUCGAUCAGAUGUCCAGAUCCCCCCGGGGACGCUUCUCCUGCUUCGGUGGUCAGUCGCCGUCGUGGAGUGGACGAUGUUUAUGAAGAAGACGGUCGUCCCCCGCGGUCGCAGGGGGGUAAGUCUCCACGACGUCUUGCGGGUGGAAUCGAUAGACAUCCACGCCCAGGUUGAUGUAGCGGGGGCAGCAUCCACGCGGGGUGGCCCCUCGCCCGGACGCGGAGCACCCCGAGGAGCACGAGGUGGCCGUCGUCCAUCGCCGGAGGAGGCAGCGGCCCUGGAG
rnacentral:lncRNA from 1 species